rnacentral:rRNA from 1 species
AUACGGAGGAUCCGAGCGUUAUCCGGAUUUAUUGGGUUUAAAGGGUGCGCAGGCGGCCAUUUAAGUCAGCGGUUAAAUCGUGGGGCUCAGCCCCAUUCUGCCGUUGAUACUGGGUGGCUUGAUUGCGGUCGAGGUUGGCGGAAUUCGGUGUGUAGCGGUGAAAUGCAUAGAUAUGACGAAGAACACCGAUUGCGUAGGCAGCUGACCAGACCGCAAAUGACGCUCAUGCACGAAAGUGCGGGGAUCGAACAGGAUUAGAUACCCUGGUAGUCCGCACAGUAAACGAUGAAUACUUGUUUUCGGCGAUAUAAUGUCGGAGGCAAAGCGAAAGCGAUAAGUAUUCCACCUGGGGAGUACGCCGGCAACGGUGAAACUCAAAUGAAUUGACGGGG